UUUGAGGAUGGACACAUGGAAGUCAAGGAGAUUAAGGAAAAGCAAAGUAAUCUGUGAAGGAGAGACUGGCAAGGAAGGAGAGGGAUGUUUUAGAAGCUCUGGGAAUAAAAUGACUCAAGGAAGAGAGAAGAACUCACAUCAUUGAUGAAGCCUAUAUGUCAAACUUUUCUGUGUAGCUCCCAAGUCCACAGUUGCUAGAACAGGAAGAAUGUAGUAGCAUGGAACUCCUGGCUACUUCUCACCUACUCCUCGUUGCUGGAGAAAUUCAAGAUCAUCAAUUUCCUGAGAUGCACCUGAAUGAACUGAGGGUAUACAAGAUGCUUUCAAGCCAGUCACUGUACAGAAGCAGAUUAAUUGCUCUCAGCACUAUAAGCUAACUGAACUUUUGAUGGAUACGAUUCCCCAAGAGUUUGUUUAACUUUCUGGGUCAAGGACUACUUAGUUCACAUCAUCCACAUUGCUUCAAUGCAUAGGUUUAUGGCAAAAACAAAAAGCUACAAACAAACAAACACCAAAUCAAAAUACUACAACAUUUAAAACACAUUUUAUAUUGGGAAAAUCAUCAUUGGCCCAAUGCUAAUAGAGUCUGAGCAUGAAUUCUAUUUAUCUCCUUACAAUCUUAAUAUGCAUAAACCAACUAAAUUCCGAUUUGGAUCACUGUGCUUCCCUGAUCUGGAUCAGAAAGAGGCAUUCCAUCAAGAUCUAAAUACCAAAUCAUCAACAGCUCCUCCAAAGUCUGUCUUGGCACAGUUACUCUGGAUUUUCAAACUGGGGAGCGCUGAAUUUGGAAGACUACAGGAAAUAUGCCAAAUCUAUAUUUAUACCCUCUAGAUGCCAUUCAGUAAAAUCAGGGGCAAUAAAUGUUGCAGAUUUCA